AACGAACGCUGGCGGCAUGCCUAACACAUGCAAGUCGAACGAGAUCUUCGGGUCUAGUGGCGCACGGGUGCGUAACGCGUGGGAAUCUUCCCUUUGGUUCGGAAUAACAGUUGGAAACGACUGCUAAUACCGGAUGAUGACGAAAGUCCAAAGAUUUAUCGCCAGAGGAUGAGCCCGCGUAGGAUUAGCUAGUUGGUGGGGUAAAGGCGCACCAAGGCGACGAUCCUUAGCUGGUCUGAGAGGAUGAUCAGCCACACUGGGACUGAGACACGGCCCAGACUCCUACGGGAGGCAGCAGUGGGGAAUAUUGGACAAUGGGCGAAAGCCUGAUCCAGCAAUGCCGCGUGAGUGAUGAAGGCCUUAGGGUUGUAAAGCUCUUUUACCCGGGAUGAUAAUGACAGUACCGGGAGAAUAAGCUCCGGCUAACUCCGUGCCAGCAGCCGCCGCUG
rnacentral:rRNA from 1 species